rnacentral:rRNA from 1 species
GACGAACGCUGGCGGCGUGCUUAACACAUGCAAGUCUACGAGAAUAAGGUAGCAAUAUCUUUAGUAAAGUGGCGCACGGGUGAGUAACACGUAAGUAACCUACCUUUAGAUUUGGAAUAACCCCGAGAAAUCGGGGCUAAUACCGAAUGAUGCAGCGGCACCACAUGGUGAUGUUGUUAAAGUCUAUAUGACGUCUAAAGAUCGGCCCGCGUCUGAUUAGCUAGUUGGUGAGGUAACGGCUCACCAAGGCGACGAUCAGUAGCUGGUCUGAGAGGAUGAUCAGCCUCACUGGGACUGAGACACGGCCCAGACACCUACGGGAGGCUG